UGAUUUUCUCCAGCCCUAGGUGAGAGCGCUGAUCUUCUCUCGGCGUCGUCGGCGCAGAUCGGAGCUCGGAGCAUAAGGGUUCCGAUUCUCUCCUCCUCUGGUUUCCUUCAAUCUCCGAUUUCUUUCUUCUCAGCCGAGUCUGCCGAUCCUUUUCUUCCCCGAUCGACAUCACUGGAUUGAGUCGUGCCGCCCGAUCGCCGGCGUGGAAGAGCAAUUAGGGCUUCAAAGGAGGCGAGGUCCUGUUCUGUGAAGGCGAUCUUGGAUUCCCUCUGUGUCGCUGCUGAUUGAGGUCUCGGGUGAAUUGGGAAAGAACUCCAGCAGAGGUUGCUGUGAGUUUUCUGAUCCAGCAAGGUGAAGAUCUGUUUUGGUUCUUGCUGUGGUGUUUUUGGCUUCGGCAGACACCUCAUCCAGCCAGCUCAGUUUGGAUCGGCAGUCAUCCAUACCUCAGUGUACUUGAUACAGCACCUAGUUCAGCUGGGAAUUGAGGUUGAGGCCGUCAGGAGAGAUUCCAGUCGCUAGCCCCUU